GUUAUAAUUUGUGUUAUACGACAUACAUUACUAGGCAUUAAUAAAAGGGGCCGGGUUCACAGGUAGUAAGGGGCGGCAACUCUACGCGAGCACCUUAUCACUAAUGAUCCCUCCGCAGGUUCACCUACGGAAA
rnacentral:misc_RNA from 1 species